CCUACGGGCGGCUGCAGUGGGGAAUAUUGGACAAUGGGGGCAACCCUGAUCCAGCGAUGCCGCGUGAGUGAUGAAGGCCUUCGGGUUGUAAAGCUCUUUUGCACGCGACGAUGAUGACGGUAGCGUGAGAAUAAGCCCCGGCUAACUCUGUGCCAGCAGCCGCGGUAAUACAGAGGGGGCUAGCGUUGUUCGGAAUGACUGGGCGUAAAGGGCGCGUAGGUGGCUCUACAAGUCAGAUGUGAAAGGCCUAGGCUUAACCUGGGGAUGGCAUUUGAGACUGUAAAGCUAGAGUCCGGGAGAGGAUAGCGGAAUUCCUAGUGUAGAGGUGAAAUUCGUAGAUAUUAGGAAGAACACCGGUGGCGAAGGCGGCUAUCUGGAACGGAACUGACACUGAGGCGCGAAAGCGUGGGGAGCAAACAGGCUUAGAUACCCCAGUAGUC
rnacentral:rRNA from 1 species